UCCUCUCUAGUGCGGCCUCGUGCUUGGGUAUAUAAUUUCAAUUGGUUUCCGUGCAUAUUCCUUGCUGUACAGGUUGAAACCACUUGGUUCGCCGGGUGAGUGUUGGUAAAUAUUCUGUAACCCACUUUUUCCAGAAUAAAUCUGCUGCGUAUUGUGCCAUCUUCCAGGUCGAUUUCACCGCCGCAGGACUGUCGCAAAGUAUGGCCGGGGGCUUGCUCCCAUCCGGGCUCCCUAGCAGCAGGAGGUUUGGCGUUAUCGGCUCCGUCGUCUCGUCAUCCAGGGGUACGUAGGGAAAACGAACUGGUUCAGCACCGUCUUCACCGAGCGGACUAAACGCUCCCAGCAACCGCCGAAGUGUGGAGCGCUGGGGGGGUUGAACGUCCACUUCAUUUGCGGUCCGCAAAAGGCUGUCAUAAGAGCGUCGUGGUCAAUCCUCUGUAAAGCUUCGUCCAGCUCCCUCGCAGCACCAACGAAGUUAGUGCCUCUAUCGCUGGUCAUCUCGAGCGGCGUCCCACGUCUAGCGAUAAAACGCCGGACUGCCAGGAUGCAUGACGCUGUGUUCAGCGAUGCCGCUACCUCCAAAUGGACUGCUCGGCUUGUAAGACAGGUGUCGGACUACCUCGCGAGAAUUCGAAAUCCAGUUCCUGAUUUCAAACCCGCCACAGGCGUGAAUAUACCGGACUGCAUCGGCCAAUUCCUUGGCUUCCUCCUGGGUCUCGACACUGGCGAGCAUAUCGUCGACAUAAUGUUCAUGCUUAAUGCAUUCUGCUGCUCUUGGAAAUGCAUCUGAAAACCUGUCCGCGUUCAAGUUCUUAACAUAUUGAGCGCUACUGGGGGAGCACGCUGCGCCGAAAGUCAUUACGGUCACGACCACCGCGAACAGUCCGGCAAGCAUAUCCGGACCGGGAAGCAGACGAGAGUUCAGGCUUACCCCGCCUACCUUAGCCGCUGCAUCGAAGACCAUGCGAAUUUUUUCCGGCUUGGUUGGGUUGGUCACCGGAAAUAUGGGGAGGUACCAAUCGUUCUUUUGGCGCGCGAUCGAAACGGCGUCAGCGAGCUUUCUGAUGUAGCCUUUAGCUAAGUACUCCUCCAUCUUGGCCUGCACGGCUUCAGCUAGAACGGGAUCUUUACUUAAUUUUUGUUUUAGGCAUACAUACCGUUUCAUCGCCGCAUCCUUGUUACAGGGUAGGUCGGGAUCAUCAUAACGCCAUAAGAGUCCAGUUUCGUAGCGGCCGCCCUUGAGCUUGGUUUCUCGCUCCAGUAUAGGAAGAGCUCGCUCGUUGUCCUUCGACUGUAUGGUGUUGGUGGGUUUACAAAUGCCGAUCGACUCCAGGUUGAAGAACUCCUUCACGACAGUGGAAAGUUGAUCAUCCGGUGUACCAUCACAGGCGCAAAUGUGGAAUAAACCACGGUCGAGAGCGGGUAUUACGCUCGAUCACGGACCGUAAACGACCCAUCCCAAACGGGUCUUGCUCGCGACGGGCUCGUCGCAUUUGCCUUCCACGCACUUCAAUGAUUUGCUCAGACUGCAGUUAUUUACUCUUAUUAGAACGCGAGGCAUAGCAUUUACGUAGGAGCCCAACGGAAGGCCCCUGAAGUGAGUAUAUUUUGCAGCUAGACGGGUCACAUCCACGGAUUGUGUAGGCAGCGCUAGAUUGUUGACGGCAUAACGGAUGCGGUGUUCCGGAUACGCCUAGUUCUGCCAGCAGCCCAUGAUCCAUGAACGUGGACGUAGACCCAUCGUCCAGGAAUGCGUAUGUAUCUACGCGCCCAGCGGGUCAAUGUAGGGACACUGGCACGUACUUAAGGAUCGCCCCGUCAGCCAUUCCUGUGUGGGUUAGAAUAUUAGCACUAGACCCCUGGACGUUACCUUUCAGCCCACUUCGUUGUCGCUCGUAGCUGCUGGAGUGGAGUGAGGUAGUGUCCUCAGCGUGCAGCAGCUCAUGGUGUUGAACGCCGCAUCCAUCUAUUCCACACGGUGGAGCACGGCAUUUGCCAGCGUGGUAACCGAGGCAUUUCCUGCACAUCCUUCGAUCGUUCACAAAUGCUCACCUUGCGGCUACGGUAGUUCCCAGGAAUUUCUCGCACUGUGACAGCGAUCCGCAACUCUCACCGCAGACAACGCAGGCUCGCAGGCCGCAGACAACGCAGGCUUCUUCUCUUGCAGGACCGUCGCGUUGCAGUAGGCCGGAUGUGCUCGCCCCGUGCCGUUCGAUUCCAUCUGGGUCGGUCGAGAGGACUGGAACCGCUCAGGCGGAUUUCGACGAUUCUGGAACGGUUGUGGUUGGAACUGCUGUCGUUUUGAGAGCGGGUCAGGAUGUCGAGGUGCCGCAUCGUAUCCCCCAAGGACGGGCGUCAUAUCAAUGACACGACACAAAUCGCUCGCCAGCUCAUCAAUCCACCGUCCAAACUCCAUCAACGUUACCUCACGCAUCCUUCUUGUGGUCCUCGCCCAAUCGAUACAGAUGACCGGUGGCAGCUUCUUCACAAGUUCCUUCAGCAACGUGACGUCGUACAUAUAGGCAUGCAGCCCCGACGCCUUAACUGCUCCGAGCAAACGUUUCACAGCGAACCCAAACUCCACCAAGCUGGGCAAAUCGUUUAUCUUAGGAGCGGCCAUACACCUUAUUUUCCGUAUAACGGACUCAACUAUCAAGUCGGGCCUUCCAUAGCGAGACUUGAGGGUCUCGAUCGCUUCGUUCAACCCGUCCGGGAAAGAUAAGAGGUGUCCAACCGCCUCCAACGCGGGCCCGUUUAACGCGUGUUGCAGCCGGAUUACGUUCUCGUCAUCGGUAUAGCCACAAGCAGCGGUAGUGCGUUCAUACGCGGUGAUAAAUACCGCCCAAUCAUCCACAUUCCCAGAGAAGGUUGGCAAAUCUCGAGGUACAGGUUGGCGUGCUGCGAUCUGGCUCUGCCUCAAGAAAGUGCCGUGUAUCUGCGGCCGUGUGUUGUGCAGUGUUGUGUGUCCCAAGUGCUCCGUAUUCCCAAAGUGCUGUGAAUUUUCCGGGCGGUUCGCGUACGCUUGAUGUGUAGUGUACCCGUACUGUGUCACGUUCGGUGGUGUCUCGUACCCAAACGAUGCAACGUCUCGCGGAUGCGUCGCGUAUCCUGCUUGGUGCAUGUGUGUCGCGUACCCUGCACCCUGUAGUGUUGCGUACAUGCCGUGGCCAUAUUGUAUCGUGUGAGGAUUUAGUGUGCGUGUGAUUCUCGCGUCGGGGUGUUGAACCACAGGAUGUUGACCCCGCGAACGGCCAUCCUUGUCGCGAAUGGGCUGGCGCAUGGAAUUCUCCAUGUCGCGGACCCACUCUUGAAAUUCUUACUCUUUUCGUCCCAAAGUGUUCGGGGGCUGCGCGACGGCGGUCUCGCCAGUUUGCGCUUCCGCAAUAUCGAGCUUUAGCAGCUCGCGUUCAAGCACAAUACGCCGUCUGUGCCGCUCCUCACCUUCCCAUCGUGCACUUUCAGACGCUGACAGCGUCUCUUCCUCGUCGCGAUCUGGAUUUGCCGGACCGUUACCACUUGCCUCACCUGUCUUACUCGACGCUCCUUGUUGAGGGGUCUUACUUCCUUCUUGAGGAACGCGCCUCCGGGCGUCAUCUUCGAACGAGGUUGGCUGGUACUGCUGCAAUUUUUCCGCCUUACUUGCUGCCCACUCGUACACAUAUUCCACAGUGGAACCUUCCGACGGGGAGAGAGUCUCGCGCAAUGCUCCUGGGGUGGACGAUGCUCCGCGGGGGCUAGUGUAAACGUUGACACGUUCUGUCCGUGGGACAGUCCCUGCGGUAGCCGGCUCUGCCCUUAGCAUACCACGCGAUUGCUGCUGCUCCAUUGCACUUUUUGGUCACAGGCACUUCGACACACAUAGCGCGUGAUUUAUUUUUCCGACUCGCGAAACUACACGACGAACGAGGAAUGCCGUACACGAAAUCGUUUGACGAAUUUCCAAAUCCAAUUUAUUUUGGAUUUAUCGAACCAAAAUGUGUUUGGAUUUAUCGAACCAAAUUUUUUGGAAUGUUGGGAACUAAAACCAAGGCGGAUUAAAUUUCUUGCCAAAAACGAUUUAUUGUACUAUUACGCGCCAAAAAAUUUGUCCGUUUUUCCGCGAUUGGUUUAGAAAAGGGCUCGUUCCUAUCUUGCGGCCCUUUUUAACGCUUUUUUCUGUUACGCUUCGUGCCUUGUUCGUGUACUGGUCACUCGUUUUAAAACGUCCCGUUUAUGACAGGUAGUUGGAACGCGAGAUUCCAACAUCUUUGUUAGACCGGGGACUUAUCAGCCAACCUGUUGCGUCUCCGUAUAAAAGGCGCCCACGGGCCUGCCCACACCCGAA